GAAGACACUCGGCGAAGACUAGCU
rnacentral:miRNA from 1 species